rnacentral:rRNA from 1 species
UACGUAGGGGGCGAGCGUUGUCCGGAUUCAUUGGGCGUAAAGCGCUUUAAGGCGGUUCGGUAAGUCGGGUGUGAAACCUCCAGGCUCAACCUGGAGACGCCACUCGAUACUGCUGUGACUAGAGUUCGGUAGGGGAUCACGGAAUUCCUGGUGUAGCGGUGAAAUGCGCAGAUAUCAGGAGGAACACCGGUGGCGAAGGCGGUGAUCUGGGCUGGAACUGACGCUGAGGAGCGAAAGCGUGGGUAGCAAACAGG